GCAUUCUUGGUCCAACGGUAGGAUAAUUGCCUUCCAAGCAAUUGGCCCGGGUUCGGUACGGUUUCCUAGNGAUGCA